rnacentral:rRNA from 1 species
UGAUCAGCCAUUCCGCGUGAGUGAAGAAGGCCUUCGGGUUGUAAAGCUCUUUCAGCCGGAAAGAAACGGUACGGUCUAACAUAGCGUGCUAAUGACGGUACCGGCAGAAGAAGCACCGGCUAACUACGUGCCAGCAGCCGCGGUAAUACGUAGGGUGCGAGCGUUAAUCGGAAUUACUGGGCGUAAAGCGUGCGCAGGCGGAUUAUUAAGCAAGACGUGAAAGCCCCGGGCUUAACCUGGGAAUGGCGUUUUGAACUGGUAGUCUAGAGUGCGUCAGAGGGGGGUGGAAUUCCACGUGUAGCAGUGAAAUGCGUAGAGAUGUGGAGGAACACCGAUGGCGAAGGCAGCCCCCUGGGAUGACACUGACGCUCAUGUACGAAAGCGUGGGUAGCAAACAGGAUUAGAUACCCUGGUAGUCCACGCCCUAAACGAUGUCAACUGGUUGUUGGGGGAGUGAAAUCCCUUAGUAACGAAGCUAACGCGUGAAGUUGACCGCCUGGGGAGUACGGUCGCAAGAUUAAAACUCAAAUGAAUUGACGGA